UCCCCUCCCCUGAGCAGUGUGGGGGGAUGAUGCCCGCUUGGGUGCCGAUGGAGGUGGUGGUGUUAGCGAUGAGAAGGAUGAUGAGGUGUUGGUGGUGGCGGCCUCCCCAUGCGGGGAGUGGGCUGGGCUGGGGGCGCUGGGGGCAUCACUUGCUCUUGUGCAUAUCCUUCAGCCGGCGGAGCUCUUCCAGGAGCUGGGCCCGGGAGUAGUCAUCAUCCCCAGUGGGGCCCGGCCCCGGCCCCAGAGCCUCCUGUAGCGCCAGGCAGUGGG
rnacentral:lncRNA from 1 species